GACAGAGGUCCCAAGCGUUAGGCGGAAUCACUGGGCUUAAAGCGUGUGUAGGCGGAUCUGUAAGUACCUUGUGAAAUCCCACGGCUCAACCGUGGAACUGCUGGGUAUACUGCGGAUCUUGAGCCACCUAGGGGCGAGCGGAACAAGUGGUGGAGCGGUGAAAUGCGUAGAUAUCACUUGGAACGCCAAUGGUGAAAACAGCUCGCUGGGGGCGUGCUGACGCUGAGACACGAAAGCCAGGGGAGCAAACGGG
rnacentral:rRNA from 1 species